GGAAGGAUGGCCGAGUGGUUUAAGGCAACGGUCUUGAAAACCGUCGACGGGAAACCGUUCCAGAGUUCGAAUCUCUGCUCCUCCGCCA
rnacentral:tRNA from 1 species